UACGUAGGGGGCGAGCGUUGUCCGGAUUCAUUGGGCGUAAAGAGCUCGUAGGCGGCUUGGCAAGUCGGGUGUGAAAACUUCAGGCUCAACCUGGAGCGGCCACUCGAUACUGCCAUGGCUUGAGUCCGGUAGGGGACCACGGAAUUCCUGGUGUAGCGGUGAAAUGCGCAGAUAUCAGGAGGAACACCGGUGGCGAAGGCGGGUCUCUGGGCCGAUACUGACGCUGAGGAGCGAAAGCGUGGGGAGCGAACAGG
rnacentral:rRNA from 1 species